rfam:Hordeum vulgare subsp. vulgare, WGS project CAJW01000000 data, contig: morex_contig_49593
UUCGUACUCCCUCCCUUUCAAAAUUUUUAUCUUAGAUUUGUCUACAAAUGGAUGUAUCUAAAUACUANNNNNUGACUAGAUACAUUCAUAUCUACACAAAUGUAAGACAAGAAUUUUGGGACGGAGGAAGUACUAA